rnacentral:pre_miRNA from 1 species
AAUGUAUGACACCGUUGAUUUUUUUGUUCAACGUUUGACCGUUCGUCUUAUCCAAAAAACUUAUGUAAUUAUCAUUUAUUUUAUUGUGACUUGAUUCAUCAUCAAAUGUUCUUUAAGCAUGACAUAAACAUUUCAUAUUUUCACAAAAAUUUUGAAUAAAACGAAUGGUCAAACAUUGCUUAAAAAGUCAACGGCGUCAUAUAUU